rnacentral:rRNA from 1 species
GAGGCAGCAGUGGGGAAUAUUGCACAAUGGGCGCAAGCCUGAUGCAGCGACGCCGCGUGAGGGAUGACGGCCUUCGGGUUGUAAACCUCUUUCAGCAGGGACGAAGCGGAAGUGACGGUACCUGCAGAAGAAGCGCCGGCCAACUACGUGCCAGCAGCCGCGGUAAGACGUAGGGCGCGAGCGUUGUCCGGAUUUAUUGGGCGUAAAGAGCUCGUAGGCGGCUUGUUGCGUCGGCUGUGAAAACCCAUGGCUCAACCGUGGGCUUGCAGCCGAUACGGGCAGGCUAGAGUUCGGUAGGGGAGACUGGAAUUCCUGGUGUAGCGGUGAAAUGCGCAGAUAUCAGGAGGAACACCGGUGGCGAAGGCGGGUCUCUGGGCCGAUACUGACGCUGAGGAGCGAAAGCGUGGGGAGCGAACAGGAUUAGAUACCCUGGUAGUCCACGCUGUAAACGUUGGGCGCUAGGUGUGGGGGACCUCUCCGGUCUCUGUGCCGCAGCUAACGCAUUAAGCG